rnacentral:rRNA from 1 species
UACGUAGGGUGCAAGCGUUGUCCGGAAUUAUUGGGCGUAAAGAGCGCGUAGGCGGCCCGAUUAGUCCGCUGUGAAAGUCCAGGGCUCAACCCUGGAAUGCCGGUGGAUACUGUCGGGCUAGAGUCCGGAAGGGGCGAGUGGAAUUCCUGGUGUAGCGGUGAAAUGCGCAGAUAUCAGGAGGAACACCAGCGGCGAAGGCGGCGCUCUGGGCCGGAACUGACGCUGAGGAGCGAAAGCGUGGGUAGCAAACAGG